rnacentral:rRNA from 1 species
ACAUGCAAGUCGAGGGGCAUAGUUCUUCGGAGCUAGAGACCGGCGCACGGGUGCGUAACGCGUAUGCAAUCUACCUUUCACAGAGGGAUAGCCCAGAGAAAUUUGGAUUAAUACCUCAUAGCAUAACGACCUGGCAUCAGGAUGUUAUUAAAGUCACAACGGUGAAAGAUGAGCAUGCGUCCCAUUAGCUAGUUGGUAAGGUAACGGCUUACCAAGGCUACGAUGGGUAGGGGUCCUGAGAGGGAGAUCCCCCACACUGGUACUGAGACACGGACCAGACUCCUACGGGAGGCAGCAGUGAGGAAUAUUGGACAAUGGGCGCAAGCCUGAUCCAGCCAUGCCGCGUGCAGGAUGACGGUCCUAUGGAUUGUAAACUGCUUUUAUACGAGAAGAAACACUCCUUCGUGAAGGAGCUUGACGGUAUCGUAAGAAUAAGGAUCGGCUAACUCCGUGCCAGCAGCCGCGGUAAUACGGAGGAUCCAAGCGUUAUCUGGAAUCAUUGGGUUUAAAGGGUCCGUAGGCGGUUUGGUAAGUCAGUGGUGAAAGCCCAUCGCUCAACGGUGGAACGGCCAUUGAUACUGCCAGACUUGAAUUAUUAGGAAGUAACUAGAAUAUGUAGUGUAGCGGUGAAAUGCUUAGAGAUUACAUGGAAUACCAAUUGCGAAGGCGGGUUACUACUAAUGGAUUGACGCUGAUGGACGAAAGCGUGGGUAGCGAACAGGAUUAGAUACCCUGGUAGUCCACGCCGUAAACGAUGGAUACUAGCUGUUGGAAGCAAUUUCAGUGGCUAAGCGAAAGUGAUAAGUAUCCCACCUGGGGAGUACGUUCGCAAGAAUGAAACUCAAAGGAAUUGACGGGGGCCCGCACAAGCGGUGGAGCAUGUGGUUUAAUUCGAUGAUACGCGAGGAACCUUACCAAGGCUUAA